rnacentral:misc_RNA from 1 species
GAUGAAGAACGUAGCGAAAUGCGAUAAGUAAUGUGAAUUGCAGAAUUCAGUGAAUCAUCGAAUCUUUGAACGCACAUCGCGCCCGCCAGUAUUCUGGCGGGCAUGCCUGUUCGAGCGUCAUUUCAACCAUCAAGCCCCAGGCUUGUGUUGGGGACCUGCGGCUGCCGCAGGCCCUGAAAACCAGUGGCGGGCUCGCUAGUCACACCGAGCGUAGUAGCAUACACAUCGCUCAGGGCGUGCUGCGGGUUCCGGCCGUUAAACCCCUUUUUUACCCAAGGUUGACCUCGGAUCAGGUAGGAAGACCCGCUGAACUUAAGCAUAUCAAUAAGCGGAGGA